GUGGGGAAUCUUGCGCAAUGGGCGAAAGCCUGACGCAGCCAUGCCGCGUGAAUGAUGAAGGUCUUAGGAUUGUAAAAUUCUUUCACCGGGGACGAUAAUGACGGUACCCGGAGAAGAAGCUCCGGCUAACUUCGUGCCAGCAGCCGCGGUAAUACGAAGGGGGCUAGCGUUGCUCGGAAUUACUGGGCGUAAAGGGCGCGUAGGCGGACAGCUUAGUCAGAGGUGAAAGCCCAGGGCUCAACCUUGGAAUUGCCUUUGAUACUGGCUGGCUUAAGUUUGGGAGAGGUGGGUGGAACUCCGAGUGUAGAGGUGAAAUUCGUAGAUAGUCGGAAGAACGCCAGUGGCGAAGGCGACUCACUGGCCCAAGACUGACGCUGAGGCGCGAAAGCGUGGGGAGCAAACAGGAUUAGAUACCCGAGUAGUCC
rnacentral:rRNA from 1 species